CCCUGUGCUUCUAAACUGAGUGGUUGCUGGUUAGAUAUACAAAAGAGGAUAAAACUCUGGUAGGUUAGUUCAUUCUCAGCAUGUGUAGCUAGACAAGAGUAAAGAUAACAGCAUGGGGACUGUUAGUACGCACACCUCAGUUCAAACCUUUAGGGAAUGAGUUUAAAAAAAAAAUUAAAAAUAUACCUUUCACUCAGUCGUACUUAGUCGUAUGUCUUGCAUGCUUAGUCUAAAGACUGUAGCAAAGAAAAUAAAUAAAAGAGAAAAAAUUAGAUUUUAUGUAUCUUUUCAGGUGUCAUAGCCUGGCAGAAGAACCAACUGAAAAAAAAAAAAAAAGUUCUCAGGCUUUACAGCAAGCAAUCUUCACUCUGAUUUUUAGAAUUCUGAUUCUGUCCCUCGGGGGGUUCCCGCUUCGUUUGAAUGGGGUUGAUUCGGUUGUACAUAUAUCCCGAUGUGUCUGUGUGCAUCUUUGUCUUUUGCGGGGGAGGGCCGAGGGGAGGGUUUUUUUGGUUUCGUUUUGUUUUGUUUUGUUUUAAUUAUUUUAUUUUUUAGGUAUUGUUCCUAAAAAGGAAUAAAUGCAUACACCUGUUUGUCAAAACAUCUUUGCUUUUUGUGCAACUGCAUUUUAUUAAUAAUACAUUUAAAAAAAGAAGAGGAAGAAGGAAAAGAAAAUAGUAUCUUUGAGGGAAAAAAGUCUACUGUCUGUAAUGGCUUUGCAGUUAAUGCUGCGUGUGUACUUCAUUUUAUUGCCCUUGAUUUACAAACAUUGGAUGACAUGUUGAUAAUGGGAAGAAAGAAAAACUCCACACACACAUCUCUUUCUUUCCCUCCCCCUCCUCUCUCUCUCAAAUUGUAACAUAGUUGACAAAAUGUGUUUCCUAUCCUCAUUAUUUGGAACAUUUUGUACAGGUUUGUGGAAUGGGGGUGAGAGAGUGAGUGUGUGAGUGAGUGUGUGUUACUGUUUUUGAUACAUUCCUAGUCCUUGUGUUUUAUCAUACCACUGCCUCCUUGACUAUCUUAAGUUCCUAAGUUUGAAAAAAGGAAAAAAAAAAAGUUGUUUAAAAAAAAAAAUGUUCUCUCUUGCUGCAGUCAAUAUUUUUGCAUGAUGAAAUUCCAGGCUCAUACUUUCAAAGUUUUAUGAGUAAAGUAGUGAUUAAUAAUGGGGAGUGUUGAAAUAUUGAACUUUUUGUAUAAAAAAAAUUUUUUUACAAGGUCCCAAGGUGUAAAGACAAUUUGUUACCUUUUUCUUUCUCUUCUUAGUAAAUAUUAGCAAACGUGAGGGAGGUCAGCCUGUGUCAGACACACACAGUCACUGAUGAGGACCCACCCUCCAUGAGCUUAGGGGUCUAUUCAUGUGAGAAGGCUUACAGCCAUCUCAGGGUGAACAGCCUAGGCUUACCUGCAUGGUGACCUAGCUGACAAUCCCCUCCCCACAUCAAAAGACAGUUGAGUUCAUAUUCCUAGCAUCUCAUCAGCCAUAAUAAGAGAAAGCCUUGGUUUAAAAAAAUAAAACAAAAUGAUAGAGCCAAAAGCAUUAUAAAUCACUAGCUCUUUUUAUUUAUUUAUUUUUUUCAGUUACAAUAUUGAAGUCUCUCCUCUCUUUUCCACAUUCUAGCUGAGCUCUCUGUCUCCAAGGGCAUAAAGCAAACUCUGCUAUUUGAAUCUUGUUGGUACCUGUUGGCCAGUGCCAUACCCUCCUGACAGUCUGGAAGUGUUUUGCAACUUGGUUUUCCUUUAUUAUCAUGAGAAGCAAAUGGACAAUUCUAACGGCGUCUUGUGGGUCCACUGUAACUCGAAGCGGUCCCUGCUACCCAGGAGCCUGGGUGGAGACGGUGCGGUCUGGGUUGUGAGUGUGGUGCUCUUUGUAUCUGUGCUGCCGCUAACAGGGAUCGUUUUGUUUUGUUUUGAUAAGACAUAAAAGAAUCUCAUUCCUUGAUAUCAACUGUAAUUCCACCAUUCCAUGUCUGUGGACACAGACAAUAAAAAAAAAUGUUGUGUAGUCAGUAGUAAUUACUGACAUGAGCGCAUUCUUAAAUGCAAUAAAAGUGCUGGUGGUUCACACUGGU
rnacentral:lncRNA from 1 species